UCAUGACAUAUAUAAUAGUUAAAUAUUACGAACCAUAGUUUAAAAUUUAAAGAUUUUGGCGGUGUCUUAUAAAACCAGGGGAACCUGUCUCAUAACUCGAUAAUCCACGCAUAUUCAACCUUCUCUCGAUAUACAGCAUGUGUACUGCCGUUGUAAGUAUACCUUUAAAAGAACAAGUAUACUACUAUGGUUACCAGACUACCCAUUUACAUCAGGUCAAAGUGCAGCUAAUGAGGAGGAGAUGAUGGGUUACAACCCCAAAAUAGAUUAUCAACCAAGAAAUAAAAAAUCUUAAGAAAGUGGACUUGACCGUAAUCAAUUUAUAGCCUAAAAAAAUGAAUAUUUUCUAAGACAUGUACACAUCGCCCGUCACUCUAUCCUAAAGGUU
rnacentral:rRNA from 2 species